CAUGGAUAAAUAAACAAACAUACAUUUUCUUAUAAAAACUAAAAUCUGAAUGUUUAUUCUACUGAAAUCUUACUGAUAUGUCACUUGCAUAAUAAUUUGGAAUGCGGUGUAAAAUGAAAGUCAGUGAGGUCUAAUGUUGUUUUGGACCCCAAUGACUUCACUGUAUGGACAAAAACAGUUAAAACUACUUCAAGCACUGUCAUGCAGAACUCCACAGAAGUGGUGUAUAUUUUUUAAUAUAGUACAUGUCUCUCAUUCAUACUGGUAGUUUUAUUAAAAGUGAAAACUGCCUUAAAAAUAACAUGUGCAAAAGCAUUCAGUCCAGAGCUCUGCGAACUGUGUUCCUCUCAUUAUAAGCUAAAUGUGUGUUUCAUAAAUGAAUGCUGGCAUUAUAUUCAAAACCAUUACAUUUUUAUACGCUGUCUAUGUCUUUGAAGCAAUAAAUGUUUAUUUCUUGUAUAUAUUCUUGUAAUAUUUAGAGUAUUUGUAGCUGGAGUUUUCAAUGAAAUGACACAGACUCUUGGCCAUUUUUACAUGUUUACUGUUUUUUUUUAUUAUUCUGUUUGCUUUAUUCAAUUUAGUUUGCUUGCUUUUAAGGUUUAGUUCAUCUGAAAAUGAAAAUUAUUCCUCCAUAUAAAACAAAAGUAUGAUAAUUUGAUGAAUGUCCUAUAAAUACACACACACACACGCACUUACACUUAUAUUCAUCAUGUAUGCACCCACAUGUAAGACUUUCUAUCUUCUGUGAAACAUAAAAGGAGAUAUUUUCAGGAUUUUUUUUUUUCCAUGGACAAUGAAAUUAAAUGGGGUUCAGAAUUGUUUAGACCCCACAAAUUUUUCAAAAUAUCUUCUUUUUUUCUGCAGAUCAAAGAAAGUCAAACAGGUUUGGAAUGACAUAGUUAGUAAAUGUUUUUGGAUGAACUUUUAAAAAGGACAUCUUUGCUUGCUGCACAGGCCUAAAUUUAAGUCUUUUAAGGGAAAAAAGUAACAAUUGUGACUUUUAUGUAGCAUAAUUCGAACUGGUACAAAAAUAGGAUCAGAAACGGACUCGUCUUCAGGACUCAAACUAGUCAGGAUGUAUUUUACAGUCUUUAAGUUUGAAUCUGAAGGGAUGUGAUUGUUCUGAAGGCUCGCAGUAGAUUUAUCCACUGUUACAGCAGGGUGCUGUAAGCCCACUGUUACUGCCUGGGAGUCCCUGGUACAGCACGGAACAUCUCUUGUUAAGGCCUCCAGGCUCUCUCACUCACACACACACCAAUACGGCAAAAAUGUGCCAAUGUGUGCUCGAGAAUGCCACAGAACGGUUUUCUUCCCUCAAUCUCUCAUUCCUAACUCUUUCUGACCCGGCCCCAAGAUGUUCUUCAAGAGCGAGUCUCGUUUUUCUUCAGCAACAGCAGCUGGAAACAGUGCCACCUGACAAGCUGCCAGCUCUCACCGACCAGUUCCUCUGCUUCCUUCUGACAUGAGCGAAGGCCACGGCCCAGUGCUUACUCAGAAAAAGAGACCCUGAGGUACCAGACAUAGUGGGAUGGAACGGAUAAAGGAAUUCCAGACGUGUCUAAAGAUCAGGAGAUGCUACAGUAUGGAACUAACCCAAGGUGGACCGCCAUUACAUGAACAAAAGACUGGAAUUUCGGCCUAUCACAUCUCAUCUGAUUCAGCAGAAGUGGAGGUGGAGCUCAGAUUAGAGCGGUCGGACUUCAGCAGGCCAAAUGUGCGGCAUCAGCUAAUAAAUUUCAACAUCUGAACCAGCAUCUGCAUCAGAUUUGGGUCAGCUGCAUAGACUAAACAGGUGUCGGCUUUUCUUGCUCUGAUGAUUUUCAGUCUGAGAAAGAUUUGGGAGGUGUCCAGGGUUCCUCUGAGUGUGGGAGUACAACAUUUCAGAUGUAUAAUGCUGACAUCACUGUUAGAGCAUGAUGUCAUUAUUUAACAUCAUUAAUUGCGUUAUAUAACUGAGUUUUUGUUGUAUUGUCAUAACUAUGCAUGAUCUAAAUAGAAAGCCAUUGCAAUUGCAUGAUGUCACUAAAGUGAGUGUUCUGUGUACUGGAGAUGUCAUAUGCAAUUUAUCAUGUGUGCUUUUUCUCUCAAUGGCUAUGAAACCCUUUACUCCGAACAGUACAUUUUAAAGCUUUAUAAGGCAUAAUGCCAGUACUUUCAUUACUGAAAAAUAAACAUGAUAUGUUUCAUGAACAACGACAAUAAGUGUUGUUUACACAGCCACUCUCAUUUACUGUGUUUUAUCAUCUAUAAGUGACAGUAUCUUUACAACACAGUUACACUUCCUAAUAAAAGACAACGCUUCAAUAACAGAGUGUAGCUGACUGAUAUGGGCACACACAUCCUUUAAGCCCAAAAGAGAGCUGAUCUUAUGGAGACGGUUGAUUCUGAAUUGGGAAUAUCAAUUCUUUUUCCCUUCCUUUUUUUUUUCUUCAAUUUAUUCUUUACAUUAUUCAAACAUUAGCAGAAAUAUUUUAAGCAAUGAAAAAUGAAAUUAUAUAUAUUUGAAGGUCAGAUGAUGACGUGCCUUUAGUAAUGUAUUUUGUUUAUGAGAAAUUCCCAGGGUUAAACUUUACAAACCAUUUGGCUGGUGGUACUAAAACUGUCUAGCAAGUCACUACAAGAUGCAUUUAUAAACAGCUUCCAGACAGAGUGGUCAUCUUUGAAGGGCCUUUUUUCAGGUUUUGGCAACAACAUUCACACAAAGGAAGGUACUUUGGACAAAGAGAUUAGUGGACGUUGUGUAAAAAUGGUCAAGGUGCACUGCAUACUGAAGGGGCUCAGUGAGGAGUCAGUA